CCUACGGGUGGCAGCAGUGAGGAAUAUUGGUCAAUGGGCGUAAGCCUGAACCAGCCAAGCCGCGUGAGGGAUGAAGGUUCUAUGGAUCGUAAACCUCUUUUAUACGGGAGUAAAGUGAGGGACGCGUACUAGUUUGUAAGUAUCUUACGAAUAAGGAUCGGCUAACUCCGUGCCAGCAGCCGCGGUAAUACGGAGGAUGCGAGCGUUAUCCGGAUUUAUUGGGUUUAAAGGGUGCGUAGGCGGUCUGGUAAGUCAGCGGUGAAAGUCGGUGGCUCAACUAGAGAAUUGCCUAUGAUACUGGGGGGCUAGAGUAUGUUUGAGGCAGGCGGAAUGCGUGGUGUAGCGGUGAAAUGCUUAGAUAUCAAGCAGAACCCCGAUUGCGAAGGCAGCUUACCAAGCCAUGACUGACGCUGAGGCACGAAAGCGUGGGGAGCAAACAGGAUUAGAUACCCCAGUAGUC
rnacentral:rRNA from 1 species